rnacentral:tRNA from 1 species
CAGGGAGACAGCAAAAUGUUUAAUAUUAUUAUUUUGUCACCUUAGGUCGAUCGGUAUCUCACGUUUUUAAUUUAUUAAGAAUUUCAUUUCCUAAGUUUUUUCUAGGUCACACCCAUUAUUUUUCCUGGGCCAUUAGCUCAGGUGGUUAGAGCGCACCCCUGAUAAGGGUGAGGUCCCUGGUUCAAGUCCAGGAUGGCCCAUAUCUCUAUGUUGGGGGUAUAGCUCAGUUGGUAGAGCGCCUGCUUUGCAAGCAGGAUGUCAGCGGUUCGAGUCCGCUCACCUCCACUGAUUACCACCUCUUCCAUAAUCUAUGAGAAGGAAAUGUUUUGAGUAGUGAUCAAAUUCUGAACGAAGCUAGCUUCCUAAUGAAAUCAUUAAGAUGCUGGACUCAUUGAAUUAAUUUCAUUGUUUUCAGAGAACCUUGACAACUGCAUAGAUUAUUUUUAAAGACAAUAAGCAUCUUUAAUGAUGCAGAUUUAUUAUUUGUGCGAAUGCAUUAAUAACAAUUCUAUUAAGCUGAUGCUUCAAUUUUUGAAGUUAUU